UUUUGGCAGCUAUAGUGUAGCGGACCCACCUAAUUCCAUGCCGAACUUAGAAGUGAAACGCUAUAACGCCGAUGGUAGUGUGGGGAAUCCCCAUGUGAGAGUAGGUCACUGCCAAUUAU
rnacentral:rRNA from 1 species